GAUGAACGCUGGCGGCGUGCCUAAUACAUGCAAGUCGAACGCUUCACUUCGGUGAAGAGUGGCGAACGGGUGAGUAAUACAUAAGUAACCUGGCAUCUACAGGGGGAUAACUGAUGGAAACGUCAGCUAAGACCGCAUAGGUGUAGAGAUCGCAUGAACUCUAUAUGAAAAGUGCUACGGGACUGGUAGAUGAUGGACUUAUGGCGCAUUAGCUGGUUGGUAGGGUAACGGCCUACCAAGGCGACGAUGCGUAGCCGACCUGAGAGGGUGACCGGCCAAACUGGGACUGAGACACGGCCCAGACUCCUACGGGAGGCAGCAGUAGGGAAUUUUCGGCAAUGGGGGAAACCCUGACCGAGCAACGCCGCGUGAAGGAAGAAGUAAUUCGUUAUGUAAACUUCUGUCAUAGAGGAAGAACGGUGGAUAUAGGGAAUGAUAUCCAAGUGACGGUACUCUAUAAGAAAGCCACGGCUAACUACGGGCCAGCCGCCGCCGUAAUAC
rnacentral:rRNA from 1 species